AUCCCGAAAACCCUAAAUUCACUAGAAGACAAGAGACUUGAGGCAGUUUGGAUGAAUGCUCGACCCUUGGGGAUUGAGUGAUA
rnacentral:sRNA from 1 species